UGCAGGCUUUUGGGAAUAAAUAAUGUCAAAUUGAAGACAAUGUUCAACAUCCUCCAAAAGUGAGAUAAAGUUAUAUGGAUAUUGUGAUACGAGUGGAGGCUGACAUUCUAUCUUAACCGUCAAAAACUAUAAUAUCUAUAAGCUUAUGACAUUAAAAGGAAUUAAGGCUAAAUUGAUAAUAUAAGACUGUCCAAUUUUAGACCAAAAAAUGACAAAAAAA
rnacentral:misc_RNA from 1 species